GAUACAAAAACAGCAAUGAUUGUCUUGGUUGACAUGCUUGAUUUGCUCCAGUGGAAAUUUCAUGAAUUAAAAUAAUGAAUUGUGCAAAAUAAAUGUGUUAGUUUACAGAGAUAAGGUUCAUUUAAGAGCAAAUAAUCCUAACGAAAAUAAACAUUUCAUUGCUAAAGAUAUUUAUUUAUCAGAAAUAAUUCAAGUUGCAUUUCUUGCAGUCCAAGAGCUUGCCAUUUUUUCAUUGCACAUUUCUGAUAUACAGUAUACAUAUAUAAUACUUACUACUAAAUAUACAUAAUCUUGCAUUACCAAGAAAAAUCUCAUUAUUGUCUAUUCUUAGUCCAUUUUUCUUUCACUCACGGAUGGUCAAUAUCUGGAUGCUCAUAGCUAAUUCACAUUGAUAUGUAUUUCCAUUAAAAAAGAUUCACUGAGAUAAUCAUCAAAUAUAAAUGGCCAUUAACAUUUAUAUAAGGAGGUUACAAAAAGUAUUACUGAAUUGCCGUUGUAGUGCAUGAAUGCGAUUAUAAAGAUAUGUCAGAUACUCUUGUCAGAUUAACUUUUGGGGGCAAUUUAGAAAAUAAAUUUAACCAGAAAAAAUAUCAAAACUAUUUUUUAGGAAUAAAACAAUAUGCUAUAGCAUUGGUAAAGCAGUUUAUAAAAAAUCUUUAAUUUAUCAUACCAAUUAUUUGUGUAAAAUAUAGUGGGUAUUUGAAAGUCGACCAUGGUAAAGCAGCACUAAAAAGCUCCAUUGAUAUUUCACUAACCUAUGAGAAGCUACAGGCUUGUGACUUCAGCCUUAAUGUGCAAAGUGCAAAACUGAUAUGAAAUACAGUCUCAAAAUGAAUUGUUCAUUAAUUUACAGAUGCUUUAAAGGAAUAGAUCAAGCAAAACAAAUUACAAUUCAGUCAUCAUUAUCUGGUUCUGUCAUUCAAAACCUGUAUGAAUUUCUGAUUUUUGAUGUACUAGUUUAUGGAGUUUUUAUUUCCUUUAUUUCCUGAUCACUCUAUGUUUUCAUUCUUAGGAAAAGAUCGACAUUUCCUUUUGUGUUCCUUUGAAGAAAGAAAGUCAUACAAAUUUGAACAAUGAUCUCCAGCUGGCCCAAGUGGACCUGGUCUUCCUGGACGACCUGGAUCGCCCUGAGAAUAAAGUACCUUUUCUCCCAGAGCCCCUGCAAGACCAGGUUCUCCAACAUCUCCAGGAUAGCCAUCAGGACCCUGUAAAAGGCAC